rnacentral:rRNA from 1 species
CCUACGGGUGGCAGCAGAGGGGAAUAUUGCACAAUGGGGGAAACCCUGAUGCAGCGACGCCGCGUGAGUGAAGAAGUAAUUCGUUAUGUAAAGCUCUAUCAGCAGGGAAGAAAAUGACGGUACCUGAGUAAGAAGCCCCGGCUAACUACGUGCCAGCAGCCGCGGUAAUAAGUAGGGGGCAAGCGUUAUCCGGAUUUACUGGGUGUAAAGGGAGCGUAGACGGCAGUGCAAGUCUGGAGUGAAAGGCGGGGGCUCAACCCCCGGACUGCUCUGGAAACUGUACGGCUGGAGUGCAGGAGAGGUAAGUGGAAUUCCUAGUGUAGCGGUGAAAUGCGUAGAUAUUAGGAGGAACACCAGGGGCGAAGGCGGCUUACUGGACUGUAACUGACGUUGAGGCUCGAAAGCGUGGGGAGCAAACAGGAUUAGAUACCCUAGUAGUC